rnacentral:tRNA from 1 species
GCAUUGGUGGUCCAGUGGUAGCGUGCCCGCCUGCCACGCGGGCAACCCGGGCUCGAUUCCCGGCCGGUGCA